AGAAUAAUUCAUAUUGUAGCAUACCUUGGUUAUUCUGCCUAAAUAAUUCAACAGCAUUCAGUCCAGUAGGGAACUUCUUGCCCAUGAAAAAGACAUGCUCUUUGCCCUAUGAAACAAUGGGACUUCAUAAAGCAGAAUCUUCCUGUAGGUAAAACUGGAUAAAAAACUGGACUGGUUUAGAUUUAAAAGGUUAAACAAGGAUAGGAAGAACAAGAGAAAAGAUUUAAAAAAAAAACAAAAAAGGAGACCACAGGAGCUAGAGGAAGACAGGUACCUGAGGUCAUGGUCAAAAAUAAGUCUCAUUUGAUAUAUUCUGCCAAAUAAUAAGUUGGCAGAAUAUUUCAAAACUUAAAGAGAUUAACAUCCUGAAGGUCUGCCUAUCUCUUCUAUCAUCUUGUCUGUUAUUCCCCUCUUUUCUCUGACAUUUUUUUCUCUUUCUCUUUCCUUCCCCAUCAUAUUCAGCUUGAAGCAUAUCCUACUUUAACUUCUUUUACUUCAUCAAAUACAGUAAAGGUGCAAAUAUGCAUUUUAUUAGUCCUAUUUGUAUGAGGAUAGUUCCCUGAUUUGAGUGUGAUUUCCUCAUGGAAACAACUAUACUGGCAUAAAUCCAUGCAAGGAAGAAUUAGCAUUAGUGAUGUUGGAAUAUGUGGUUUUAAAGAAGCAUGCCAUGCUUUACAUGGAGAGAAUUAUUGUGAGGAAACCUAUUGAUUCAAAUGAUAUUGCUUAUGUGAAUAAGCUGCUAGGUUGGGCAAUCUGUUGUGCAAAAAACACUCUCUUCCUCUUGACUAUAAAGAGAGCACUGACUGUGAGCCAUAGGUUCAUCAUACUCAUGAAUACAAAACACUACUUUUACAAAGAAGUCAUGCACACCGGGUUGGGAAUAUAAAGCAUCUUAUGUAAGCAUCAAUAUCUUAUAUGGAUACUUAAUUUGCAGGGUUUCCAUCCUGUUUAUAUUGGGCAUCUGGUGUUUUGAUUUGUCAGAGAAGAUCAUUCUAGGAAGGAUGUAAAAUCUUCCUACCAUUUGUUCAUAUAAUGUUUGUCCCUCUCAUUUUCAAACCCUAGAAUCAUUAUUUAUAGAUAAAGGAAAUCUGAAUUAUUGCACAAGAAUGAGAGUGUUCUUCAUUUGUUCAUAAUUUAUUCUCAUCCUGCUGCCACUUUUGGCAGUUCAACCAUUAGACACAGUCAGACAAUAAGAGCUCACAGCAUGAUUCCUAUCUGUAGAGUUUUGCUCAGUUUUUGCAAUCUAGGCAGCAAUAUUCUCUUGUUAAAUAGGGGAAAAAUUCUGUGUACCAUGCAAACAUGUUUUUUAGGUCAGCUAUGUGCAUUAUCUACUGUUGAAACAACUAUAAGCCAUAUUUAACCAAUGACAAAAUCUGGCAUUUUAUCUUAAAAUAUUUUAUGCUCACUCAGCUUCAGAACAAUGUUGGAUAUGAGAUAAGAACCAAAACAAAAUCCACUUUUAAAAUAUUAAGUGUUAUACAUACAUAUUUUAUCCUUGUAGUCAUAGUUAUGCUCCCAGAUCCAAAAGAAAAUUAACUGUGUUAACCGACAUGCUGUCUAGAAGCUGACAUUGUUAUCGCUCAGUUAUCGCCCAGUUAUCACUCAGCCAUCAGUCAGCCAGUCCUGGUGUCUGCACAGAGGUAACCCUGCACUAUUGUCCUGUUGAUCAAUCUGCUAGUCCAAUUCCUUUUCUGGAAAAAAAUUUAUAGGAAAAUUUUGACAGGCAGUUUGACAACUCAAGUAAAUCCAGGUUAUUCUUAUUUUACACCUCUAAAAAAGAAUAUUUCAUGGUUUUGAUUUUGGUCCCUGGUCAAUUUUUUGAGGGAUGGUAUGUAGUCUGUAGGCAGCUUUCCUAAUUCCCUUGCUGUGAUAUUAAUCCUCCUUGUUUCCCUUUUUUCAGUCAUUAAAUGAUUCCUGGUACUAUCCACCUUGAUAGGUACAAGGAGAUGCUGGAAUGUUUGAUUCAUCCCAGUGAACUGAGGGAUAGUGAUGCACAACCUUAUUUCAAGCACUGUUUCUUGCAGGCUUUGUUCCAAUGGAAGGAAGUGGACUUAGAAAAUUGAAGAGGAGCAGCAGUGUCAGAGACAUCUAUUAGGCCUGAAGAACAGUGAUGGUAUUUUUUAGAGGAAGUGUGAGAAAUGAGGAAUGAGCAGAAAGCCUGCACCAUCCUGUAAAUUCUUCAAAACAGCGUCCAAGAAAGUGUUUAUUGCAUGACUUUUCUAUUACAAUUAAAUAUAAUGAUGAUGAUGAUAAUGGCAAGGAAGUCCUUAAUUUUAGCACCAUGAGAUAAAAUGCAGAUGACAACUGUUA